rnacentral:rRNA from 1 species
CGUCUAUAUACGUAUAGCAUAUCAAUAAGCGGAGGAAAAGAAACUAACUAGGAUUCCCUUAGUAACGGCGAGUGAAGCGGGAAGAGCUCAAAUUUGAAAUCUUCAAGGUUCUACCUUGACGAAUUGUAGUUUAAAGAAGUGUUUUCUGUUGGAGUUUUGGUAAAAGUUCUUUGGAAUAGGACAUCAUAGAGGGUGAGAAUCCCGUAUUUGACCAUUUCUUCCAGCUGUGUGAUACACUUUCAAAGAGUCGGAUUGUUUGGGAAUGCAGUCCAAAAUGGGUGGUAAAUUUCAUCUAAAGCUAAAUAUUGGCGAGAGACCGAUAGCGAACAAGUACCGUGAGGGAAAGAUGAAAAGAACUUUGAAAAGAGAGUUAAACAGUACGUGAAAUUGUCAAAAGGGAAGCGUUUGACACCAGUGUUGUUUUUCCGAAAAUCAAUUACGAAUGUUUUAUUUUUGAGAAGUUAUGACUUCAUCGGCUUGCUUCUUUCUUUACUGAAACUUUCCUUAAUGCACUUUUCGGUUAACAAGUCAACAUCAAUUUCUUUUGUUGUAAAAGGGUAUGAGGAAGGUGGCUUUCUUUUCGGAGAAAGUGUUUAUAGCCUUGUACCUCUGCAAUCGGAGAGAUUGAGGUCUGCAGCGUAGAUCCUUCGGGGUUAGAUACAUUUGUGCUAAGUUAUAGCUUUUCAUAGACAACUUGUUGACUAUGUUUAGUCUUGCUAGCUUACUCGCUUAUGCUAUUUUACCUACGCUUAGGAUGUUGACACACGCGCGUGCUCG